rnacentral:rRNA from 1 species
CAACGCGUUGGGAGCUCUCCCAUAUGGUCGACCUGCAGGCGGCCGCGAAUUCACUAGUGAUUAGAGUUUGAUCAUGGGUCAGAUUGAACGCUGGCGGCAGGCCUAACACAUGCAAGUCGAGCGGGAGAGAGAAGCUUGCUUCUCUUGACAGCGGCGGACGGGUGAGUAAUGCCUAGGAAUCUGCCUGGUAGUGGGGGAUAACGUUCGGAAACGGACGCUAAUACCGCAUACGUCCUACGGGAGAAAGCAGGGGACCUUCGGGCCUUGCGCUAUCAGAUGAGCCUAGGUCGGAUUAGCUAGUUGGUGGGGUAAUGGCUCACCAAGGCGACGAUCCGUAACUGGUCUGAGAGGAUGAUCAGUCACACUGGAACUGAGACACGGUCCAGACUCCUACGGGAGGCAGCAGUGGGGAAUAUUGGACAAUGGGCGAAAGCCUGAUCCAGCCAUGCCGCGUGUGUGAAGAAGGUCUUCGGAUUGUAAAGCACUUUAAGUUGGGAGGAAGGGCAGUAAAUUAAUACUUUGCUGUUUUGACGUUACCGACAGAAUAAGCACCGGCUAACUCUGUGCCAGCAGCCGCGGUACACGAAUCGAAUUCCCGCGGCCGCCGUGGCGCCCGGGAGCAUGCGAC